UACAGGGGGGGCAAGCGUUGUUCGGAAUUACUGGGCGUAAAGCGUGCGCAGGCGGUUUUGUAAGUCUGUCGUGAAAUCCCCGGGCUCAACCUGGGAAUUGCGAUGGAGACUGCAAGGCUAGAAUCUGGCAGAGGGGGGUAGAAUUCCACGUGUAGCAGUGAAAUGCGUAGAGAUGUGGAGGAACACCGAUGGCGAAGGCAGCCCCCUGGGUCAAGAUUGACGCUCAUGCACGAAAGCGUGGGGAGCAAACAGG
rnacentral:rRNA from 1 species